GACGAACGCUGGCGGCGUGCCUAAUACAUGCAAGUCGAGCGAAGUGUUUCUGGUGCUUGCACUAGAAAAACUUAGCGGCGAACGGGUGAGUAACACGUAAAGAACCUGCCUCAUAGACUGGGACAACUAUUGGAAACGAUAGCUAAUACCGGAUAACAUCAUUAACUGCAUGGUUGAUGUUUAAAAGUUGGUUUUGCUAACACUAUGAGAUGGCUUUGCGGUGCAUUAGCUAGUUGGUGGGGUAAAGGCCUACCAAGGCGACGAUGCAUAGCCGACCUGAGAGGGUGAUCGGCCACACUGGGACUGAGACACGGCCCAGACUCCUACGGGAGGCAGCAGUAGGGAAUCUUCCGCAAUGGGCGAAAGCCUGACGGAGCAACGCCGCGUGAGUGAAGAAGGAUUUCGGUUCGUAAAGCUCUGUUGUUAGGGAAGAAUGAUUGUGUAGUAACUAUACACAGUAGAGACGGUACCUAACCAGAAAGCCACGGCUAACUACGUG
rnacentral:rRNA from 1 species